GCCUGGCUGGCUCAGUCAGAAGAGCAUACGUCUCUUGAUCUUGGGGUUAUGAGUUCAAACCCCAUGUUGGGUG
rnacentral:tRNA from 1 species